GCCUACGGGGGGCAGCAGUGGGGAAUAUUGCACAAUGGGGGAAACCCUGAUGCAGCGACGCCGCGUGGGCGAGGAAGUACCUCGGUAUGUAAAGCCCUAUCAGCAGGGAAGAAACAGGACAGUACCUGACUAAGAAGCCCCGGCUAACUACGUGCCAGCAGCCGCGGUAAUACGUAGGGGGCAAGCGUUAUCCGGAUUUACUGGGUGUAAAGGGAGCGUAGACGGUGCAGCAAGUCUGAUGUGAAAGGUCGGGGCCCAACCCCGGGACUGCAUUGGAAACUGUUG
rnacentral:rRNA from 1 species